UACGUAGGGGGCAAGCGUUGUCCGGAAUUAUUGGGCGUAAAGAGCGUGUAGGCGGCCAGAUAAGUCCGCUGUGAAAUCUCGAGGCUCAACUUCGAGCUGUCGGUGGAAACUAUCUGGCUAGAGUCCGGAAGAGGAGAAUGGAAUUCCCGGUGUAGCGGUGAAAUGCGCAGAUAUCGGGAGGAACACCUAUGGCGAAGGCAGCUCGCUGGGACGUUACUGACGCUGAGACGCGAAAGCGUGGGGAGCAAACAGG
rnacentral:rRNA from 1 species